CUUAGAGAUCGGCUUUAACAUUGGGCGAUGAAGCGCUUCAUCUUACGACUUAGCAGUCGCGAGAGGGAGAGGAUCUGAAACCCUCAUCUGAGGGUAGUGGGGAACGAUCAGAUCUCGUCGAUUCCUCCUCCGAUUCUUAUAAAAUUCCGUCCGGCUUCGCCAAGAUCGUGGUUCUUUUUCUCUCUAUCUAGAAAAUUGGAAAGAAACAAAAGUGGAAGAGUAGAUUUGUACUGCACAGUAUCAUCUGCCUUUGGUUUUUGAGCCUAGCAGCUUACAACAUCUUGGAAACAAAUAGUGAGCUUUCUUGUCUGGGGCUGCACUCUGUUGCUGGUAACCUGUGAUACUACAUAUGGUAGCUGUGGAUCUGACCGCUGGUUGGGCUCACGUUCCGUUGACUGACUAUGUUGUUGUAGGCCUUGUGACGUGCUGCAGCAAUCCACCCUCGUCUUUGGAGGAAGCUUCCUAGCACUUCAGUUUGAGGUGUAUGUAUGUCAGUAUACUGCAAAGGUCUAUAAUGUUGGGUAAGUGGAUCUUGAAAUUUCAUGCAUCAUUUAAUCACAAAAAGGCACAACAUGACAAUAUGCAUCUAGAUAUCUCAUCAGGGGUUAAUUAUAUAUUAUCUUUUAUAUUUAGAUUUUAUUAAUAUCAUAAUUUUUAUAUUUAAAAAAUCUAUAUUAAGAUCCCUAUAAUUCUAAAAAUAAAAUAAAUAACUUCAUUUAUCCUUACAACUAUAUUGGCGAAGAACACAGCAUAUAACAUCAUGUGUUAGAUCGACAUGAAUGUAAUGGAUAAAAGAAUAAUUUUAAUAUUUUUUUAUUUGUAAUAAUUUUAUCGAUAAAAAAAUAAUUUUAAUUUUACAUGUCGAAAAUGAAAGAUAUUGAAAUUAUCUUUUUAUCUAUCACUUUCAUGUUGAUCUAGCACAUGAUGUCACAUGUAUUUUUUAUCAAUACAGUUGAUGACGUUAGAACAAAUGAAGUUAUUUAUUUUCUUUCAUAAUUAAAAAGAUUUUAAUAUAAUUUUUUAAAAUAUAGGGAUCGCGAUACUAAUAGGGUCAAAUAUAUAAGGUAAUAUUUAAUUAACCCUCUCACCGGAGAUUUUAAUAUAGACUUUGAAAUGCAGAAUUUUGAUGCUUGUUUGUAAAGUCUAAAGAAGAAUGUUAGUGGAUCAAAGAAAAACCACUGGCUGAGAUUGUUUUUUUCUUUUUAUCUCGUGUGCCGGAGGUGGUCUUGUUGUAGAGAGAAAGCAAGGGGACCAUUGGCAUCUCAAAUGAGCUUUCAUUCAGUCUUAAAACGUAAUAUAUCUAUGGUUAUUGUGCAAAUGUGUAUCUGUCCUGUAAACGUGUGGAAUGUUGGGGUAUCUUUAUCUGAAUUUGUAAUACUGGCAUCUGUUUUUACCUGGAUGUUUAAAUGUUUGGAUGACACAUAAAAUAGUAUUUGGGAUGAUGUUAUAUUUAUGGUUACUAUGCCAACAUGAUCCAUCUUGUUAACAUUUGUCAUUUGGAGA